rnacentral:lncRNA from 1 species
AUGAUAAUUCUUCCAUGCAUGAGACAAUCAUUAGGGGAGCAAGAUACCCAACAGUGUGUGUAAUGUACUUUUUCUGUUAAAAAAAGGGGGGGAGUAAGAAUUUGUGUCUCCUAUUGCUUGUAGAUGCCUAAGAAAUUCUGGAAGGGGAGUUCCCGUCGUGGCGCACAGAAACCAACCUGACUAGUAUCCAUGAGGAUGUGGAUUCAAUCCCUGGCCUUGUGCAGUGGGGUGGGGAUCCAGCGUUGCUGUGAGUUGUGGGUCGCAGACGCUAGGAUUCCGCAUUGCCGUGGCUGGGGUGUAGGCUGGCAGUUACAGCUCUGAUUCAACCCCUUCACCUGGGAACCUCCACAGGCUGCAGGUGCAGCCCUAAAAAAACAAAACAAAACAAACAAACAAACAACAACAGAAAAAACCCACAUGAAAGCUGAAUGAGCCAUUGUUGAGUUUUCUGUGAUUUCUUCUGGAUCAGGGCUCUCAGUUUGGUUCGGGAGUUGCAGGGGUGCCAAGAUGACCCCCUAUCCUUUGGGGCAGCCUGUAAAGCUGGUGGCUGAGAGGCCUGAGAUGGGAGCAGCUUCCCUGCCACCCCGGUGCCUGGUGCCAUCCCAGGUGCUGGUGGGAUGGAUGAGCCCAGAAUCACAGAAACCGGCCUACACCAACACAAGAGCACUGAGAUUUUUCUUCCCUGAGUGGGAAUCAGGCUGUUUGCAGUGUUUCUGGUAAGUUCUCUGAGAAGGAAGACAAGAACUAAGUUCUUUUUUUUUUUUUUUCCUUUUUUUAAGAUCUAAGUUCUGAGCCAUUGUUCUGUGAUGGACACUAGGCAGAACUAUAGACAUACACACCCUAAUUUUCUUUGGGUAUCAAAUACUGCUGGCAGCCUUCCCUUUCAACAUUCGAAUGAGGAAAAUUCAAGAAGGACCCCUCCUUCUUCCUCCAGCUCCAGAGGUGGCCUGGUCCUUGGAGCCCAGCACCAAAGCUUCUCUUGGAUGGAGACAGAAGCAGAGGGAGGGUGGUCCCCCUUCUAAACACUCUUAUCUUCCCCUCACCCCUUCAAACACACUCCCCAGCCAUGCCCACCACGGCUGAGCUGAGAGGCACCCAGGUCACGGCAGGCAGCCCCCCACCCCUAUCCCGUAGCCAGCUCCCACUUCCCCAUGUCCCAGGGGAGUGGCUGUGGGGACAGGGUGGUGUGUCUGGCAGAUCACGCUGUGAGUCCUACCUUCCUCCACUUUUGACCUCUGCUCUCCAGCUGUGGUGUGGGUGGUUUGGCUGAUACAAGUCACAUGUGCGGGAGUGAAGAUUUGCCCUCACUACUCAAACACUUGCGAAAUCAAAUCCCUCAAGUGUCAGAGAGAUUAACCCGUCCAAGUCCUUCCUCUUCUAAGCAAGAAGCCAAAGCAGGGAGAGCUGGCAACAACUAGCUCUUCAUUCAAGGAGGUGGAGCGGAUAUAGAUCCUACCUUGAGCAUAAGCUCACGGUGGGCAGGGCCCAAGUCCUAGGUGUCCUGGUGCCCCCAACUGCAGCCUCUGGCCCACAGCCCCAAUGAGACUGACUAAUUGUUGUUAACUUGAGUUAAUUUUAGCUGAAUUUUUACCUGGUUUGGGGGAAGCUGUCUAUUGAGAACCUUGUGAUGGCUGGUGUUCCUUGGCCAUUUUCAGCCUUUUGGGAGACAGAAUCAGAACUGAGAGGCAAUCUCAAAUGAAAUUCCUUCUCCCGGAUGGGUUUGGGAUUAGAAGACGGUGAGAUUUUACCUUUAAAGGCAAUUAAAACAGUAACAAGGACAAUCGUACAAAAGCAUGACUCUCCACCAAUGCAGAGUUUAUCCCAAAGGGCAAAGUUAAAAUCGUUUUAUUCACUCGACCUCAGAGUCCAUCGUGCUGCUGAGGACUUUGAACCCAAAAGCUGAUUGAUUUUUAUGUCUCUUAAGGAAAGA